ACUCAUGAAAACGUUCCUGUUCACAUUUUGCCUCGUGGCAAUUUUCGGAUCCAGCUCAUGGAUUGGGACGAAUAGUGUUUGGAUGGAAUUGUCACUUUUGACAGCGAAACUUCCCGAAGGAUGGAACUUACCCAGUUAUUUAUCUGCUAUUGUUCAGAUCGCGUGCCUGGGUCCGCUAAUCUAUUCAAUAAUUCAUAAAGGAAUCAAAAUGACAAUACCUACAGUACCCCUGAUUUUCAUAUUUAUGGUGUUAGCAUGUAUUUGUCAAUUGGGUCUCUGCUUCUUCUGGGACGACACUGGAUACAUAUUUGGAGCCAUCCGAUCAUGGCCUCUUUACCUUCUUCUCUUCGGAUUAGCCAUCGUUGAUGCAAUCUCCAGUGUAUUAUUUCUCCCUUUUAUGGCACAAUUUCAUCCGUCAUUCUUGAAUGCAUAUUUUGUAGGAAUGGGCUUAAGUGCUCUAAUUCCAAGUCUACUAUCUCUCAUACAAGGAACUUCGAAUUACUGGUGUGAUGAUAACAAAACUCCACAUUAUUAUCCACCAAGAUUCUCAGUUUCCAUGUUCUUCCUUAUUAAUUUCUUCUUUACAUGCGCGGCAGUUGCAGCAUUCCUAGUGUUAUAUAAGAUCGGAGCUCAUAAGAAUUCAAGCCAAGUGGAGCCAGAACCGAAACAUUCAAUUCAAAUUAUACAAGGUGAUUCUACAACGGAUGUGAACGAAGUUAAUACGGAAAGCAGGAAACAUCUAGUAUACCUGACAGCAGUAGUGCAACCGGUGCCCGACUUGCAUUUUUACUAUUAACUACUGCGUUGGUCAACGCACAAAUGAAUGGAAUUGUGACAAGUGUACAAAGUUAUGCAACACUUGUGUACUCACAGAACACCUACCACUAUGCGGUUACAUUAUCCAAUGUGAUAUCUCCACUGGCAUCGUAUCUACAAUUCUUUGUGAAAAUCCGAAGUCUACCAAUUCUAGCAUUUCUAACAUUAUGCUCUUCGCUAACAACUGCAGUAAUUAUCUAUUUAGCUGCACUAUCUCCAAAUUGGAUAUUUAAUUCUGAAACUGCGGGUACUAUUAUCUCAAUAGCAAGUUCCUUGAUAGCAGCUGGACUGCACUCAUAUCUUCGUGUCAUGUUUGCCGCAUUAUUACGGGAAGGAAAUCAGAAGGAGUCGAGGUUAUUCUGGUGUGGAGCGUUUAUACAGAUCGGAUCGUUCACUGGUUCUGCAAUAAUGUUUCCAUUGGUAAAUGUCUGGAAACUCUUCCACUCUGCACCAUCAUGUCGGUGACCUUGUUCAUUUUAUUCCUUUACUUCACAUUAGUCUCACUUUUUUUGUGAGAAUUUUGUGUUGUUCCUUUUGUAGUUUGAUGUCAAUUUGAUAGACAUGUAAAUUUGAACAAUAAAAGCAAUGGCAAAUUUGCCCUUAUAUUCCCUUUUUAGACAUACACCUUUUCAAAUGUAUACAAAUAAACCUAGGGUUUU
rnacentral:misc_RNA from 1 species